GACGAACGCUGGCGGCGUGCUUAACACAUGCAAGUCGAACGGAAAGGCCCUUCGGGGUACUCGAGUGGCGAACGGGUGAGUAACACGUGGGUGAUCUGCCCUGCACUUUGGGAUAAGCCUGGGAAACUGGGUCUAAUACCGAAUAGGACCACGCGCUUCAUGGUGUGUGGUGGAAAGCUUUUGCGGUGUGGGAUGGGCCCGCGGCCUAUCAGCUUGUUGGUGGGGUAAUGGCCUACCAAGGCGACGACGGGUAGCCGGCCUGAGAGGGUGACCGGCCACACUGGGACUGAGAUACGGCCCAGACUCCUACGGGAGGCAGCAGUGGGGAAUAUUGCACAAGGGGCGCAAGCCUGAUGCAGCGACGCCGCGUGAGGGAUGACGGCCUUCGGGUUGUAAACCUCUUUCAAUAGGGACGAAGCGCAAGUGACGGUACCUAUAGAAGAAGCACCGGCCAACUACGU
rnacentral:rRNA from 1 species